rnacentral:misc_RNA from 1 species
UUUCCGUAGGUGAACCUGCGGAAGGAUCAUUCAUAACAAGUGUUUUAUGGCACUUUUUUAAAUCCAUAUCCACCUUGUGUGCAAUGUCAGGGUUGUUUUUUCUCACGAGAGGAUCAGCCCCAAACAUCAACUAUAUCUCAACUCUUUGUCUGAAGAAUAUUAUGAAUAAAACAAUUCAAAAUACAACUUUCAACAACGGAUCUCUUGGCUCUC